AAGAAGAAGAAGAAGAAGACGCUCACACUCAUUCAUUCACUGACAGGAGCGCACACACCGUCGGUGAGUAGCGACUAAACUUCGUGAUCCCGGAGUUGCCAGCCACUGUGGGGACUCACUGGUGAUGGGUUUAGCACGUGGGAGCGGCUGUAGGUCCAGACGAUCUUGUAAAGUUAUUGAUUUGCGUUCUGAGACGUACAUCUUUGUAUUGAUGUAGUUAGCGCUUGUGUUAGCAACAUGCUAUCCCGUCUCGGUCGCUCACGGCGUGAGGCACGUUCAGUAAGCCCGAUUGCAUUGUGGGUAACGUAGUCGCUUAUUGUUGCGCUCUCACUGUGUUGCGUGUUUAAUGCGAGCCUUGAGAACUACAUAUUUUUUUGCACCGUGGUUUAGCGAUGGUCCAGGCUAACAGACUUUAAAUGUUAUUGCUUCUUGUGUUUAGUAGUAGAAACAGUCUUGUGUUUAGUAAUAAAAAAGAGAAGCAUUACACGCAAUUAACUCAAAUGUUUAUUGUUGGGCAUGCUAUUUUGCAUUUUUGGUUUAUUUCUGUGUUCCUUCCAGGUUUAUAACCUGUGCAAUGGCUGUGCAAUGUUACAUUAAAUAACAGCAACUAGUCAAGCACGAGUUGUAACAGUGUGUUUCCUGUUAAGCCCUUUCCAAGGGCUAAGCUCAAAAUGUCGGAACUAUAUCUAGUAACGUCUUUAAGUCUUUAUAUGUCGGUCCUAACAGGUUCUCAUGAAUAAACCUUGAUCAUUUUAUAUUCUGUUUAUUAAAGCUGUGAUAUUGUACAGUGGAUGUGAACAGCUGAUGCUCCGUGUAGAUGCAAAUCUCUGUCAGAGCUUCCUGCUGAGGUGCAAAUGGAGGCAAAGACUCUCAUCACAGGUGCUUCUUCAAGUCCUGACCGAAAAAUAAUUGAUUUUAAAACCUCGUUUAAGGCUUAAUUUUGAGUACAGAGCUGAAUAUUUGGAAAUAAAGCUCAUAUUUUCUGUAAUUUGUCUUCUUCGUGCACACCGCCUGCUCCUCUGUGUCUAUCUGAUGUAGAUCUGUGUCUCUUCAUAAUCGCAUUCAAGUCUUUGUCUCUGUGCUGACAGUUUAGGCCGUUACCAUGGCAACAUCCAUCAUGUGAAAGAAGGAAAAGCGCAUUAAAGCUUCAAAACGCGCGACUCCAAGCUUCACACCUCGCCGAUGAUAUCAAGAAGUCAUUAUCACCUCAGAGCGAGGAGGACGGGAUUAUUCCUCGCCGCUUCGCCACCGUGGGGUUUCACACUGCUGUUUGUGCGCACGUGUCAGCGUGUUUGUGUGUCAGCGUGUUUGUGUGUCAGUGUGCUUGUGGUCACUUGGCUCAUAAAGUGGGUGUUUGCCAAAGUGAGAGGACAGAGCAGCUCUCUGUUCUCAGAUCAGUUGGUGGCAGCGUUUUUUGGCUGAAGUGCUUGGAGGACAUUCAGUCAACGUCUGUCGUCUUUGUUUGUUUGUUUUGGGAUUUUUUGUUAAACCCAAACCGUAAAUAAAGCAUGAAGAAG